AACGCGAAGAACCUUACCAGGUCUUGACAUCCUUUGACAACCCUAGAGAUAGGGCUUCUCCUUCGGGAGCAGAGUGACAGGUGGUGCAUGGUUGUCGUCAGCUCGUGUCGUGAGAUGUUGGGUUAAGUCCCGCGACGAGCGCAACCCUUGAUCUUAGUUGCCAUCAUUAAGUUGGGCACUCUAAGGUGACUGCCGGUGACAAACCGGAGGAAGGUGGGGAUGACGUCAAAUCAUCAUGCCCCUUAUGACCUGGGCUACACACGUGCUACAAUGGACGGUACAAAGAGCUGCAAGACCGCGAGGUGGAGCUAAUCUCAUAAAACCGUUCUCAGUUCGGAUUGUAGGCUGCAACUCGCCUACAUGAAGCUGGAAUCGCUAGUAAUCGCGGAUCAGCAUGCCGCGGUGAAUACGUUCCCGGGCCUUGUACACACCGCCCGUA
rnacentral:rRNA from 1 species